CGGGGUCCCACUGCCGUCCCCUGCGGGAUCCCCCGGGCUCUGCCCUACCUCCCCACCGCUUCUCCUGCCCUCUGUGCCGACAGAGCUGUUCCCCACCGGCGCGCACUGCGCCGCGGGUCUCUGCCCGCCCAGCAGCCCCAGCAGCCGCCCGGUGUGCGCCAGCAGCUUCGCGCAGUUGGGCUGCAGGUGGGGCAGGCGGCAGUCCUUCCUCACGGCUCGUGCCACGCGGGCGACGAAACCCCUCAGGGCUCCGUUGGGGACCACCGGGCGCAGGCAGUGCUCCGCUUCGCUUUCAAAGAGGUCUCCUUCUAUCGCUGCGUCCUCAUCCUCCGCGCCGCUCGGCUCCCCGGCGAGAAAACCAAAAUGUUCUGACUGAAUGGAAUGGAAACUGAAAAUGAGGAUACACAACGUGUUAAUUACUG
rnacentral:lncRNA from 1 species